rnacentral:rRNA from 1 species
UACAUGCAAGUCGAACGAUGAAGUCCUAGCUUGCUAGGAUGGAUUAGUGGCGCACGGGUGAGUAAUAUAUAGUUAAUCUGCCCUACACAGAGGAACAACAGUUGGAAACGGCUGCUAAUACCUCAUACUCCUAUUUGACAUAAGUUAAAUAGGGAAAGUCUUUUCGGUGUAGGAUGAGACUAUAUCGUAUCAGCUAGUUGGUAAGGUAAUGGCUUACCAAGGCUAUGACGCGUAACUGGUCUGAGAGGAUGAUCAGUCACAUUGGAACUGAGACACGGUCCAAACUCCUACGGGAGGCAGCAGUAAGGAAUAUUGCGCAAUGGGGGAAACCCUGACGCAGCAACGCCGCGUGGAGGAUGACACUUUUCGGAGCGUAAACUCCUUUUAUCAGGAAAGAAUAAUGACGGUACCUGAUGAACAAGCACCGGCUAACUCCGUGCCAGCAGCCGCGGUAAUACCGGGGGGUGCAAGCGUUACUCGGAAUCACUGGGCGUAAAGGACGCGUAGGCUGAUUAUCAAGU